UACGUAGGGGGCAAGCGUUGUCCGGAAUCAUUGGGCGUAAAGAGCGUGUAGGCGGCCAGGUAGGUCUGGUGUGAAAACUCGAGGCUUAACCUCGAGAUGUCAUCGGAAACCAUCUGGCUAGAGUCCGGAAGAGGAAAGUGGAAUUCCUGGUGUAGCGGUGAAAUGCGCAGAUAUCAGGAAGAACACCCGUGGCGAAGGCGGCUCUCUGGGACGGUACUGACGCUGAGACGCGAAAGCGUGGGGAGCGAACAGG
rnacentral:rRNA from 1 species